ensembl:lncRNA
GGAGAGUUUGUGGUUCUUUCCUUUCUUAGCCUGUAGGUGUGAGUCAAGGGUUCACUCACCUCUACCCAUGCAGGUUGCUGAUAGGAAGCCAGUAGAUCAAACCACCAGCCACAUCCCAGGGGAGAAGGGAUAGUCUGCAGUCCUCGCCCCACACAGGACUGGCCAAUCCCAUGCCCUGAGUAACAGUCUCUUGCUGUUUAAAAUAGCUCCUCAUUUAAAAUUCAACCAGCUGAGAAGAGCUUGCCACGUACCAUUAGGAGGGACAGGCAGACUAGGAAGGGACCAACCAAUCCCAUGAGUCAGAGUUGUUUUCUUGGGAAAGACAAGAGAAGAGCUGCUUGAAAGGCCAAAGACCAACAGACAUGCUGCCUGGCUUCUGCUCCUGUCUGUCUUUGCCUGAGGUGCCAAAUAUCUGUCCCCUCCUCUUGGUCACAGAGAGAGGGCUCCCCAAGGCUCUCCAGUGUGCUAAAAACCUCUAAACCCAUCCCUGCCUGGUCAGCGUUGCAAAUCUCAAGCGGCAGCUCCUCCAGGCCCCCGGCUUCUCCUCCUGCCCCACUGCAUGGACAUGAAGACAGUCGUCACCUGGGACCCUCCUUCAGCCACACCGCUCUUUUGCAGCCUCUUGCCCCAAGGUUGAAUUCUUAUGAUUGUGUUGAUGCCAAAAGUUUAAGGGGCAGGACUGGGCCUGGCUGAGAACUUGUCAUGGGGGUUGUGUCUCCGGCCUGGUCUCUGGCCAUCAAAGGGAAAUCUUGCCUAGAUGGAGCAAGCUGACGUCGCAUUCCAUUGCGUGAAUUCCCACAGACAGCUCACAUCUCCAACUAAUUCAAGGCCAGUGGUUUUGGCCAAACCUUUGCCAAGGACUCUCUCGACUGAGUUGCCCCCACCCCUGCAUUGCCCAGUUUCCUGGGUAAGGGAGGACAUUUUUGGAAACAAAACUUGUGAAAUUAAUUUGUGAUUAUGAUUUUUUCUUCUUGCUGGAAACGUGCUGGGAAACAGACAGCAUGAAGUUAUCUCUCUUUCUGCUUUUCCAACCAAUACACCUGUUGUGCUCCUUGGUUUCUUGGUGAAGAAAAUUCUAGACGCAGACCUAAAUAUGAACUCUUCCUCCUGUAUUUCCGAUUAGCAAUUCUCCUGUGUAAUCCUAACUGUUGAAGUGUUUUCCUUCUUAGCAUUGCUUCUCAUAUUUUACUUUAUGUUUUUUUUUAC